rnacentral:rRNA from 1 species
CAUGCCGUAAACGAUGAUUACUAGGUGUGGGGGGUCUGACCCCUUCCGUGCCGGAGUUAACACAAUAAGUAAUCCACCUGGGGAGUACGGCCGCAAGGUUGAAACUCAAAGGAAUUGACGGGGGCCCGCACAAGCAGUGGAGUAUGUGGUUUAAUUCGAAGCAACGCGAAGAACCUUACCAGGUCUUGACAUCCCAAGAAAGCUUAAGAGAUUAGGCUGUGCCCUUCGGGGAACUUGGAGACAGGUGG